rnacentral:tRNA from 1 species
GGUGGUGUGUUGCUCAGUGGUAGAGUGCUUGCCUAGCAUGUGUGAGUUACUGGGUUCAAUCCUCAGCACCACAU